CGCACAGAAGACGCCAAUGAGACGUGGGAUAACUUGACGACUUUUGUAAGAUUACGUCCCAGCUGCCAUGGCCUGAAAAACAAACGAGGAAGAAGCCAUGCUCCAAAUACAAUGGUGGCUGUGGCCAGUACAACGCUUAACGAAACAAAGGUAGCAAGAACUGGACUGAAACGACGUGGUAGAAACAUGACAGUGUUGUUCAAGUGAUCUGCUAGAAACACAUUGCGAAUUUGUUAAGCGAUAUAGAGGCUCGAGUAUAUACCGAGAAAUACGGACGGAAUAUUGAGACUUAUGCCUUUAGGGAAUAUAGUAAAAGUACUAACACAUAAAAUUGUAGGCAAUUUAAACACAUUGGGCAUUUGUUAGGCGUUAGUACCGAGAAACACGGUUUCUGGAAACAUUAAGUAAUAUGUAGUCUUUAUAGUAAGAAUACUAACAUGACAAAAUGUACACAUUUUGUCUUGUUUAAAAUUGUGGGCAAUUUAAACACAUUGGGCCUUUGUUAAGCCGUACAGUGGCUUAAUGUAUAGCUUACCGAGAAACGCGAUUUCUGGAAAUAUUGGAUACAUGGCUUUAGGUAAUAUAGUAUAAUUAAUAACAUGGCAAAAUUUACACAUUUUUUUUGUAAAACGGUAAGCAGGUUUUUUUUUUAAAUAAACAGGGGUAAGUAUGGAACGCUUUAGCAAUUUAAGCGGCGUCAAACUGCGCGGAGUUCUGUUAUUCGCAUAUCAAGUAAUCCACGUACCCAACGGUUCAUUUGAGGCGGUUCUAUUCUUAUUUUGGGUUAGGUCACAGUGGUAUGCGCUUAUAAAACGUGGAAAUUGCGUUACGGUGUUUAGCUCUGCACAACAUACCUUGUACGCAAUAUACGUUUACACGUGGAAGGUGGCUUGUUAAAGUAUUAUAAUAUGAACUUAUGGUACUGGUAUGACAUUUCUGGUAGGAGAAAUAAAAUCAGUAUUUGAUUAACUU